UACGAAGGGGGCUAGCGUUGUUCGGAAUCACUGGGCGUAAAGCGCACGUAGGCGGAUUGUUAAGUGAGGGGUGAAAUCCCGGGGCUCAACCCCGGAACUGCCUUUCAUACUGGCAGUCUUGAGUUCGAGAGAGGUAAGUGGAAUUCCGAGUGUAGAGGUGAAAUUCGUAGAUAUUCGGAGGAACACCAGUGGCGAAGGCGGCUCACUGGCACGACACUGACGCUGAGGUGCGAAAGCGUGGGGAGCAAACAGG
rnacentral:rRNA from 1 species